rnacentral:RNase_P_RNA from 1 species
AGUAAGUCAGAUAAUCGCUGGUGCAUUAUGCACGAGAGGAAAGUCCGGGCUCCACAGAGCAGGGUGCCAGCUAACGGCUGGUGGAGGUAACUCUAAGGAAAGUGCAACAGAAAUAAACCGCCUCUUUUUUAGAGGUAAGGAUGGAAAGGCAGGGUAAGAGCCUACCAGAGAUAUGGAGACAUAUCUGCUAUGUAAACCCCACCUGGAGCAACACAAAAAGAAUAUAUAGAUUGCUCGUCUUUUCUUUUUAUUUAUGUGGCUUGAGGCAUAUAGCAAUAUAUGUCCUAGAUAAAUGAUUAUCUAAUACAGAACCCGGCUUACAGAUUUGCUCUU